rnacentral:rRNA from 1 species
CCGGCUGGGGAUGGGCCCGCGGCCUAUCAGCUUGUUGGUGGGGUAGUGGCCUACCAAGGCGACGACGGGUAGCCGGCCUGAGAGGGUGACCGGCCACACUGGGACUGAGACACGGCCCAGACUCCUACGGGAGGCAGCAGUGGGGAAUAUUGCGCAAUGGGCGAAAGCCUGACGCAGCGACGCCGCGUGGGGGAUGACGGCCUUCGGGUUGUAAACCUCUUUCAGCAGGGACGAAGCGCAAGUGACGGUACCUGCAGAAGAAGCACCGGCCAACUACGUGCCAGCAGCCGCGGUAAUACGUAGGGUGCAAGCGUUGUCCGGAAUUAUUGGGCGUAAAGAGCUCGUAGGCGGUUCGUCGCGUCGGCUGUGAAAACCCGGAGCUCAACUUCCGGCCUGCAGUCGAUACGGGCGGACUUGAGUUCCGCAGGGGAGACUGGAAUUCCUGGUGUAGCGGUGAAAUGCGCAGAUAUCAGGAGGAACACCGGUGGCGAAGGCGGGUCUCUGGGCCGAAACUGACCCUGAGGAGCGAAAGCGUGGGGAGCGAACAGGAUUAGAUACCCUGGUAGUCCACGCCGGUAACGUUGGGCGCUAGGUGUGGGGGCCAUUCCAAGGUCUUCCGUGCCGCAGCUAACGCAUUAAGCGCCCCGCCUGGGGAGUACGGCCGCAAGGCUAAAACUCAAAGGAAUUGACGGGGGCCCGCACAAGCGGCGGAGCAUGUUGCUUAAUUCGAUGCAACGCGAAGAACCUUACCUAGGCUUGACAUGCACGGAAAUCUCGCAGAGAUGCGGGGUGCCUUUGGCGUCGUGCACAGGUGGUGCAUGGUUGUCGUCAGCUCGUGUCGUGAGAUGUUGGGUUAAGUCCCGCAACGAGCGCAACCCUCGUUCCAUGUUGCCAGCACGUGAUGGUGGGGACUCAUGGGAGACUGCCGGGGUCAACUCGGAGGAAGGUGGGGAUGACGUCAAAUCAUCAUGCCCCUUAUGUCUAGGGCUGCAAACAUGCUACAAUGGCCGGUACAAAGGGCUGCGAUACCGCGAGGUGGAGCGAAUCCCAAAAAGCCGGUCUCAGUUCGGAUUGGGGUCUGCAACUCGACCCCAUGAAGUUGGAGUCGCUAGUAAUCGCAGAUCAGCAA